rnacentral:rRNA from 1 species
AGCGAACGCUGGCGGCAGGCCUAACACAUGCAAGUCGAACGAACCUUUCGGGGUUAGUGGCGGACGGGUGAGUAACACGUGGGAACGUGCCUUUAGGUUCGGAAUAACUCAGGGAAACUUGUGCUAAUACCGAAUGUGCCCUUCGGGGGAAAGAUUAAUCGCCUUUAGAGCGGCCCGCGUCUGAUUAGCUAGUUGGUUGAGGUAAUGGCUCACCAAGGCGACGAUCAGUAGCUGGUCUGAGAGGAUGAUCAGCCACAUUGGGACUGAGACACGGCCCAAACUCCUACGGGAGGCAGCAGUGGGGAAUCUUGCGCAAUGGGCGAAAGCCUGACGCAGCCAUGCCGCGUGAAUGAUGAAGGUCUGAGGAUUGUAAAAUUCUUUCACCGGGGACGAUAAUGACGGUACCCGGAGAAGAAGCCCCGGCUAACUUCGUG